rnacentral:rRNA from 1 species
UACGUAGGGGGCUAGCGUUGUCCGGAAUCAUUGGGCGUAAAGAGCGUGUAGGCGGCCCGGUAAGUCCGCUGUGAAAGUCAAAGGCUCAACCUUUGAAUGUCAGCGGAUACUGCCGGGCUAGAGUCCGGAAGAGGCGAGUGGAACUCCUGGUGUAGCGGUGGAAUGCGCAGAUAUCAGGAAGAACACCAACGGCGAAGGCAGCUCGCUGGGACGGUACUGACGCUGAGACGCGAAAGCGUGGGGAGCGAACGGG